rnacentral:rRNA from 1 species
GUGGGGAAUAUUGGACAAUGGGCGAAAGCCUGAUCCAGCCAUGCCGCGUGUGUGAAGAAGGUCUUCGGAUUGUAAUGCACUUUAAGUUGGGAGGAAGGGCAGUAAGUUAAUACCUUGCUGUUUUGACGUUACCGACAGAAUAAGCACCGGCUAACUUCGUGCCAGCAGCCGCGGUAAUACGAAGGGUGCAAGCGUUAAUCGGAAUUACUGGGCGUAAAGCGCGCGUAGGUGGUUUUGUAAGUUGGAGGUGAAAUCCCCGGGCUCAACCUGGGAACUGCCUCCAAAACUGCAUGACUAGAGUACGGUAGAGGGUAGUGGAAUUUCCUGUGUAGCGGUGAAAUGCGUAGAUAUAGGAAGGAACACCAGUGGCGAAGGCGACUACCUGGACUGAUACUGACACUGAGGUGCGAAAGCGUGGGGAGCAAACAGGAUUAGAUACCCUAGUAGUCC